CUUCACACUACAUCCUCGCGACUAAUGACAAUCCUUAACUCAUCAUUAAGCUAAAGUCUCUCAUUAGCCGCGCGAAAUGCUGUAACGGAAGAUCCUAUUUUAGACACAAUAACAAUACGUUAACUUUUUUUGUCAUCGAUUCUUAGAAGAAAGGGGCCAAAAUAGGCCCCUUUCU
rfam:Yersinia ruckeri strain 37551 YRO1b0000008, whole genome shotgun sequence.